GUACAGAGUCAAUGUGUCAAUGUGGAGGCUAUAUACAGGGGGUACCGGUACAGAGUCAAUGUGUCAAUGUGGAGGCUAUAUACAGGGGGUACCGGUACAGAGUCAAUGUGGAGGCUAUAUACAGGGGGUACCGGUACAGAGUCAAUGUGUCAAUGUGGAGGCUAUAUACAGGGGGUACCGGUACAGAGUCAAUGUGGAGGCUAUAUACAGGGGGUACCGGUACAGAGUCAAUGUGUCAAUGUGGAGGCUAUAUACAGGGGGUACCGGUACAGAGUCAAUGUGGAGGCUAUAUACAGGGGGUACCGGUACAGAGUCAAUGUGGAGGCUAUAUACAGGGGGUACAGAGUCAAUGUGGAGGUUAUAUACAGGGGGUACCGGUACAGAGUCAAUGUGGAGGCUAUAUACAGGGAGUACUGGUACAGAGUCAAUGUGGAGGUUAUAUACAGGGGGUACCGGUACAGAGUCAAUGUGGAGGCUAUAUACAGGGGGUACCGGUACAGAGUCAAUGUGGAGGCUAUAUACAGGGAGUACCGGCACAGAGUCAAUGUGGAGGCUAUAUACAGAGAGUACCGGUACAGAGUCAAUGUGUCAAUGUGGAGGCUAUAUACAGGGGGUACUGGUAC